CUUGUAGUAACAACGAAUGAUGAGAAGUCAGCAGAGGUCAUAGUACCAAGGUGGUUGCAAACACAGUGGGAAGGAC
rnacentral:ncRNA from 1 species